rnacentral:rRNA from 1 species
ACGGGGGGUGCAAGCGUUGUUCGGAAUCAUUGGGCGUAAAGAGCGUGUAGGCGGCUAGGCAAGUCAGAUGUGAAAUCCCUGGGCUUAACCCAGGACGUGCAUUUGAUACUGCUUAGCUUGAGUAAGGAAGAGGGAAGUGGAAUUCCUGGUGUAGAGGUGAAAUUCGUAGAUAUGACGCUGAACACCGGUCGCGAAGGCGACUUCCCGGUCAAUUACUGACGCUCAUGCGCGAGAGCGUGGGGAUCAAACAG